ACGGCGCGAGUGACGACGCCGCGCGCACGUGAAGCCUGUGUCUGCGCCGCGAGUGACACGCGUGUGAACAUCAUACUUACGACAAAGUGACUGUGCCUGUGAAUGCUCCACCAUACCCGAGGCUCUGAGGUGCUUGUGUAGCAGUGUUUGUAUUGUGGUGACCAGCUCCGUCCUCAGGUGCUUUCUCUGGAGUUACACAAAACUGUGCCAAGCAUCGGGUUACGACCGCCACGCGACUCGCUACGUGACCGACAAACGGAUCGUUAAAGAUGCGUGUAUAACCGGUGCAGCGUAGCUUGGCAUGGGCCAGGCGGGCAGCCACGCGCCGCCGCCGCAGCGCGGGCGUCGGGCGCACACGCUGCCGCACGACCCGCCGCGACUUGCGCCUAAGGUGCUACCAACGCUAUGCGAGUCGCCACGCCUGCGCAGUACGGACAACGGCGCGAUCCUGCACUCGGGCGGCACCAUCAGCGGCCGCAGACCCAACACCAUACACGAUAAUGUGCCGCAUGGACAUGUGCACGCGAACGUGUACCGGUCGCGGUCGGCGGGGACGUCGGGGGAGAACACUGACAUACGCACGAGAGAGAGAGAUCCCCUGCAUCGGUCACACACCAACUUGGAGCUAAGGCAUGAUGGAAUUUCAGGAAGCAGUAUGAACAACCGAUUCGGGUCUGAACCAGACCUGAGGAUAGAAGAAGAACAGAAAACGAGAAAUGGAAACAAACACUUUCGAAAAAAAUACAGAGCACCCCCACCACCCACCAAUGACAACUUCGAGGGUUCAUCGCCAGAUUCCAGCGAAGGGAACGCGAGACCUGAACCCCAGAGGAAACUAAGACUGUUCAAAACGAGAAACGAAACCAAAAAACUGAACGGCCAGGAAAACUUGCAGUUCAGAAACUCAUAUCACGAAUACAAGUCACUCGAUAUGACCGACAACGCGGCGUUCGAGAGACGAUACAGAUCGCCUUGCAAGGACAAGGAGCAACACUUAAAAUACCCUGACAAUAAGGACAUGGUGCAGAGCACCGCCUCUCUCAAGAGGGAGGAACGACUCAUACAAACGAAACAAGACUACAGGAAGACGAGAAUAGACAGGAUGAGCGGCUGUCGAGCGAAGACAUCCAAGAACGAACACAGUGAAGCGUGGAAGACUCCACUACUAAACAGGAAUUUCAGGUACUCCGAGAGGUUCAAGAAAGAUGACAACGAACUGCCCGCGCUCAGGAGAGAGAGGACAUUCGACGAAACAUUGAUCGCCAGCGAGAGGGAGAGCGAGUCCUCCAGAGCAGCGCACGAGGGCAGGAUGAAGGCCAUCGCGGAACAGCUGAGGGGGGGCAAGCCCACCCCCCUGGCGGAGACCAACAAACCGUUGAGAAAAUCUCUUCCUUCACUAUUGGCAAAAAAUAAUGAAGAAAAAGAUGAAUUUCAAGCAGAACUUAAGAAGGCUACGAGUAGAAUUAGAAAUCAAUUAGGCAGUAAAGUUAAUGAUAGUGAAACCAAAACUAGUCAAGAGAAGAACGAUUUGAGGAGCCCAACGAAAAUACCGAGUAAAGUGAAAAAGUCUAGUCCAAGUGUUGCCACCAAAACUGAAGCUAAGGUUGUUAGUAGACGGCCCUUCAGUCGGACGAACGAGGACAAAGCUAGACAGACGAGUAACGUUGUUAGUGCUAAGAAAUUGGACAAUAAGUAUAAGGCGAGCAGUAAGGAGAACAGCCGACCCAUGCCGGACAGAGGGCAGGCCUCCGGGAAGGAGUCCACUCCUGAACACUCACCCACUAGGAAAUUGGAAUCACUGAUCAAAUCAAACCAAUCGUCGCAAGAAAAACAAAAGCAGGCAGCUCCAUCUAAACAGUUCUACUUCGGCAUGAUAGAGAGCAAACAGACAGACACAAACGAUCACCUGAAGGACUUUCCCGGGCUCGGCAGCCCCAUCAUCGAGGAGAUCUCCAACUUCCACCUGAUCGAACAGAAGCUGCUCAACUAUCAGGAGGACGAGUCGGAGUUCGAUAAGUUCAAUGAAAAGCUGAAGGAGGAGAGCAAGACUAAGAAUUUAUCAUCCGAGUCGGCCCUAUCAUCAGGCGGGUCGGUGGAGUCGGACAGUUCGCUGGGCAUCGCGCUGAGGCUGCGUCCCACGCUGCCCAAGAAGCAGCGCUGUGUGCCGCGCUUCUCGCCUGCUGCUGCUUGGAGACAGCUCGCGUGUCUGGAUGAUCAUCUCGCUGCAGCAGAGACACAACCACUAGCAGUAGAGACGAAGAUGACAGGAGACAUAUCGGCGGAGUCAUCGCCGCGGUCGGACCAGUCGGCCGACAAGUCGGGAGACUCCGGUAUAUCGGGAGACCACAUGCAUUCGGAUCACAGGAUAGACUCGCCUCCUACACAUCAUGUACACACACAAGACUCAGGCCCAGCUGCCUGGACCCCACAGCAGGACCUGGGCGACAGCAGCUCGGACGGCGCAGGCGGGGCCCCAGCGCUGCUGGGCUCGGGGCUCGCCACCUACAGCCCCGGCCACCAGCCUUUCAGCCUGUCCCUGCCCAGGGACCAGGACCGGUUUAAAGCCAUGUCGUGCUUCUAUGACUGCUUCCAGGGUAAGCAGUUACAGCAAGGCUUCAACAGUCUCCAGAAACUUCGGAAGUCGGUGUCUGGGGCGUUAGGAGCGGCUUUAGGUUCGAGAAGGUUCGAUUUGGAACAUGAGCCGAUGUUGGAAGAGCCGGAACAGAACUGGUUCCUGACGAAGUCUGCUCCCAACUCCUUGAGCAAUCCCCUCCUGUUCCAGCAGCCGGCGAGAGCGAAGGGAUCUGAAGAAGACGCUAUUAAGGAGGAGUCUUUACCGGCUUCGGAAAAGGAAGAGUUAGGCACCUGGCGAGCCGGUACAUCAUACCUGUCGUGGGGUGGGCACGUCAUGUACCUGCCUCCUGCACCUGCUGCAGAACAGCCACUGUCUAUGCUCGGACCUAUUGAUAGGCCCGUCAGGAGCAAAUCGAGCGGUUGUUUGGAAGCGUCAGCGCGCGCGGCAAGGGCAGGGCUGUGCGCGGAGAUGCGCGAGCGAGAGCGCUCCGCCUCGCCCGACCUGGCGCGAGCCCUUCCUGCAAGAGUACUGCCCGCCAACACUCGCUCAUCGCAAGCAGCGGGCCGUGGCAAGCGCUUUACAUUCCAGUCGACUGUCAGACAGCUGGAGCGACGGCGCCUGGCUGAGAAGCUGUCUAAAGAGGCUGACUUGAAGGAGCAGCAGAGAAGAACAGAGCUGGAGGCCAUGAGGAGAGUGGAGGAGGAGUUCCAGCGCAAGCGCGCGCGGGAGAAGGCGAACAUCAGACAACAACUACGCCUCGUCAGUGGCGUCAACAGCAUGCCCACGCCACCGCCGCAACAUAAUAAGUCUCGCGACUCCCCGGACGGGUCGUGCCGCGCGUCGCCGGCGCCGGAGCGGCCGCGCGACUCGCAGCGACACAGCAACGCCUCGUCCGAGAUCAGUGCACGCAGCAAAAGUACUACUCCUAUCCGCAGCGUGGAGCUGUCGGCGUGGCGCACGGGUUGCGAGGCGCGCGUGUACCGCGACUGGGCGGCGGCGCGCGAGCACCCCCCCGCCUGCGCGCACAUGCCACGAGCCACCCACACUAUAUACAACGGCGGCGGCAGCGCCGGGUCGGGCGAGGCCUUCAGCGGCAGCCCGCGCUCGGACAACUACCGGCUAGAGUUCGCGCGCGGGCGCCCCCCCUCCCCGCGCGCCGCGUCGCCGCGCACGCCGCGCGCGCCGCGCCUGCUGCGCGUGCGACAACCCUCCUCGUCCGGCUCCGACCUGUCGCUCAGACAGCCUAUUAAGAUCAGGUGGUGAAAUGUGGGAGUAGCGCUAUUACCUAACAUUAACCCUGCGCGCGCGCAUACAAGUGAACCUACGAAAGAGGAGGCGGAACCCGAGGAGCCCGCCAUCGUCCCAACGCUCCGCCCCGCCGGACCCCCGCGGACUCCACUACUCACUCACUGACACACACUCACUGGCUUACACAGAGUCACUCACUCACACAUAGUAUCGCUCACUUACACAUAGUGUCACUCACCUACACUGGAACACAGUCUACACUGAAGACUGUACUCUACGAAUGUAGACUCUACAGGCAUCGCAUCUGGUUGUAAUGAUGUCGGUGGGAUUUAAAGUGUUAAUUUCACUAUGUUGGAAAAUGUACUAGUUUGCAACAGUGUUCACUAAAUAUUAACAACCACAAAAAAUAAUAAAUAAAAAAGUGUUUUGUCCCAUUCAAUUUAAAGCGCCAACCCCAAGUAAAAUUGGGAACAGGGCAGGAGAAAGAAGAAGAAUUUAAAACGAUGUUAAAUUUUUGUUUAAAAUAUGAUUUGUGGUAAUAAUGUUUAGUUGAAAAUAUUGCAACGUGAUUUAACAGGCGUUAUUAGAAGCGUUUGAUGAACGUGAGUGUAGUCAUUGACGAUGAUAUAAUUAAGAACAUAAUCAUAAACUUGUAUAUGUUGAACUGUAAUCUAUGUAAACAUCUAUUUAUUUAACUUGAAUUCUUUUUAGGAGUUUGUUACCUGAUAUAUUGGUUUGAGAUUAAAUAGGACUUCGAGAGAUGGCCAAGCGUAAGUGCCAACCCAAAAAUAUUUGGUAUAAAAAUUAAGAUGAAUAAAUAAAUAAAAAGGAACCCUUUUAUAAAUGAGUUUUGGAACUAAUUAUGGGCACGAAGGUGGUCGAAUGUCCGGUGUUCAGUGGUAGCCGGAACGGGUGUGUAUGUAGGUGGGUCACGCGAACACUUGCUGAAAUUUGGGUCGGCCAAGCAUUGUGCUAUUCUUAUUUACCCUUUACUUUUCUUACUUGUUGACCUACUGUAGAAAAGUCAGAUCGUCUGGAAAAUAGCACAGAUAAUUGUUUAAGUGGAUCUUUUUAAGUUAUUAAACUUUUUUUGAAAAAAAAAAUGUUUCAACAAGAAAUCAGCCAGUUCGUGUGACUUGCUAUUUUUGUCUAUAAAAUACACACAAGAAUACUUUAGAAAUUGUUUUAGCAGGGUUUCAAUUUGGAAAUAUAUUAAAGAAAACGGAAAAGCAAGUAAAGAGAGAAUUGUUAAUUUAGCAACACAGUACUGUGAAGAUAUUGACUCCGAAGAGUGCUUUAAUUCGCAUCUGUUAUGUACUUAAUCUAUGUAAAUCUUUGUACUGUAUUUAAUCAAGUUUAGUUUUAUAUGUCAAGCUGUAUUCACAAAAAGAAAGAAGCGAUUAAAUAUAUAAAAAAAAUGUAAUGUCUCGAUUUCCAUGUAAAAUCAUUUAAUAACUAUCUUUUUGUGAAUUCCGUUUCUACGUUAUAAUUCCAAUAGUUAUGGUCUUCCAUUGUAAGCUAAAUACUGAAGCUUUAAUAUAGACUUAACCCUAGACUUAUUGCGGUGCUAUUUUACGUCAAACUGUAGAGUGACGUUACAAUGUCAACGUCAAACCCUACAGUUAAACGUCAUUGUUAGGUGCUGAAUUAUACCGAGUUUUAUACAUAGUCAUAUUGAUAUUAUUAUGUGAGUUUUCUGUUACAAGUAAAAUAAAAAUAUCGCGGUAUAUAAACAAACAAAUUUCCCAAUAAAAAGCCUAUAUUGUGCCCCUUAAUUGAGACUUCCCCUCGUCAUAACCUUUAGGAAAGCUGAUAGUCCAUUUCCUAUAGUUCACGGGUAGAAUGGACCGGGGUGCGCCGUGACCGGGUUAACCACGGCUGAUCGAUUGUCGCAACCAUGCUUUUAUGACGUGAAAAAUAAUAUUGGGCGGGUCUCAUUGUAAUAAUUCCAUUGUUAACAGCCUUAUAAAAUCAUUUUAUUGUUAUACAUAUAGUUGUGGGAAAGUGGCUGAAAAAGAUUCGCGGUAUUUAAAAACAAAUAAUGAAUAGGCGAACAGGCGAAAUAUCAACUUUGCCGGUCUAACCUUUGUAAAAAGUCAAAGAAAAUUAUGUAUGCCCAUGACAUUAACAUGAAAUUGAAAUAAUGAAGAAAAUAUGCAUGAUAAAGACUAACUCCUUGAGGAAAAAUAAAUAUACUUUUAAGAAACUCACUAAAAUAAGUUAUAUUUGUUUAUUAUUUAUCAUACAUACAGCCCCAUAUUAUACCGAAUGUUGUAUAUCAUUUAUUCAUUUUUAAAUUAAACGAUAAAUACAAUAUACAACACGAGAAGUAUUUUAUUUAUAAGAAAUGAAAUUAUGAAUCUAAUAUAAAGCGGCUCAAUUGUAUAUAACUUAAACUUAAGCGUUAUUAAUAUUGUGUAUCUGUAUUCGAAAUAUACAUUUGAAUGCUGAAAUAUUUAUGGUAACAUUUCCAAUUUUUGCAAAAUUUAUAUAACCCAUGUUAGCCGGUUAUUGUUAAAAUUAUAACGGGAAAGCAUAAAAAGUUACUAUAAAUAUUUUACGUCAUAUAGACUUAAACUUGUAACAUAGAUAAGCAUAUACAUAGGUGCAUUGUAUUGUAUAUAAUAAGCUAAAGUUCGGUGCAUGUACAUAACUAGAGUAGGAUGUAAACCCUGUAUCUACAAGUAAUAAAGAUUUGUAUAACGAUUUUA